CUCCCCCUCUCACAAUCGAUGCCCCUCAGAAGCCCCGCGAGAUCCUCCGAAAUAAUGUCCACUCUGUUUCAGGCAAAGAAUAAAGAUAGUUCCCACCGAUUGGGUUUGAAACUGUUUUCUCAUUGCGGGGCUCGUUUUUGUUUUCUAAAGUCAGAAAAUUCCUCAACUGAUGCGCAAACGCGAUAUCACCUGCGGAGACGACACAGAUGUUUGCCAGGUCUCUGGUGCGUUCCUGAGAGGUGAUCAACAGUUUGCCUGGUCGUCACCUUAGUCUCCUUUCCGAACAACGUCAGGCUCCGCGGGUGACUUCACAUGUGUCACCAAUAUAGACACUGACUGAGUGAGUGACAGAGCCCAGAUCUCUCCUCUGAUGUAAGAUUGGAUCAAAUGCAGCAAACAGUAUGUUUCUCUUUUUAUAAGAACAUCGGUGCAACUAAGUCAAUAUUUAUCUGCUAAGUCUCAAAGAUGUUAUUUUUGGUAUAUAUAUAUAUAUUAGUUUAUUUCCACAACGUAGGCUACUGCCCCCUGGCUCCGCUGGAGGAUACAAAUGGGAGGCAAAAUGGGCCUUUGAGGUGUCGGAGAUAAAUAUUUCAACGGAGGUGUGUGCGCGUGCGUGCCAGAAAGGGUCAGAGAGAGAGAGAAAGAGAGAGAGAGAGAGAGAGAGAGAGAGAGAGAGAGAGAGAGAGAGAGAGAGAGAGAGAGAUUUGAUGGCAAUUGGAGGUGUGUGAAAUCUCAGAUCAGCACCUCGGACAGCGACCGGACAAUCUCCCUCUUUGAAACACAACAACCAUGCGUAACAUGUAUGUUACAGGCUUUCUCGAUGUCGAUUGGAUUUCAUGAAUUCAUUGUCCGGAUUUGGCAGUGAUUAAUUAUCCUCUACGGCAUUGUUUCCAAUUCGCAUCAUUUCCCAAUCAAGAGCUCAAUUCUAGUCUUUCAGUACUGUGGCUCUGAGGAGAAACAACAAAAACAAACAACCAAAAAUAUAACACAAAAAUCAACAAACCCAUCCCACUGAAUGUUAAUACCAUUUCACCAAACCUUGAAACAUUUAUAAAGACAAUUUUUUUUUACAAAAGGCAACAAUUAUUUUUGAAAAGCAAAAAUGACACAAAACCCAACCUGUUGAGUCUCGUGGGUCGUGUUGCAGCAAAACACUGUCUAAUAAAGUUUUGAAAAAAAAAAUAAAAAAUUGGCAGCUAACAGGUAUCACACAUAGACUGUAUAUACUAUGGACAACUUGGUGCCGCCUUCCGUCAGUAUACGGAUUUGAAGUUGAAAAGUUCUCGGUAAUGCCGCAAUUUUUCUUCAUUUCCUGAAACCAACACUGCGCAGUAGCGUUGUACGCACCAGCCCGUCACCAGAGGGUGCUGUUCUCGGAGUGGCUUCACCCAGUGAGGAGGCAGACGCUGUCCAUUCUGUAUAGAGUCUAUGGUAUCACAUGAAGAAAAACUCUGGUGGUCCGUUUCUUGCAACUAUGGCUGAUUGUGGGAAGAGUUGCAAAAAGUGUGGCGACAUUAUUCCAAAGCUAAAGAUACAGAUCGAGUGAGAUGCAAUUUAUGUUGCUAAAGAACUUCGUACUCAACGUUCAUUACCAAAACACAUCAGCAUUGUACACCAAAUCGAGCCAAAAUGAAGAACCCUAGACUAUUUGUGGCUAAAACAAUUCCAUCAACUCUGGCGAGUGUUGCAUGGAUGCUGUCCUUCUCUUCCACCCAAAGCAGCUGGGGUAUGCACAGCCAGACUUUGUAGAAAGUCUUGAUAGUCUUAAGUCUUAAAAUGUUAUGUUAAAAUGCAUUUUAAAAGCAGCAGUAUAAAAGCCUACUAGUUUACUAACUGAGGCCAUAUCCGAUUACAUUGUAAGGGGUUCAAAGUGGGGUCUGUGAAAUUAGAAUGAGGUAAAAUCAAUUAAUAUGUUAUCGCAAUGUGUCCAAAUGCCACGUCAAGAAAAAUCAAGUUUUUUUUUUUUUUUUUUUUUUUUUUGGCUUAAAAAACUUUUACAAUAGAACUUUUAAAGAGGAAACAAUGACAGAAAAAAAUGGAUAGACAGUGAAGAUAAGAACAUAAAUCUAUAAGAAAUCUGAGAAAAUGGUGUCAGAAUCAAUAAAAUACUAUAAUCCCCACCCCAAUUUAUGGAAGGCUGGAAAAAAAACUGUGCAAAAUAUUUGUUGAAAACAAAAAAAAAAAAAAGCAAAAAAACAUUUCACAAAAUCCUUAAACACGAGGCUCUGGUUUUGUCCUGUGGUUGAAGUAUGAGGCCAAUGUGCAGAGACAAUGGUUCCCAACGGGGCAGCCAGGGUUCAGAAUCCGCCUAUCAUGGACUAAACAUUUAAAAGAAUCACAUCUAUACUUUCCAACCCAAAGGCAUCAAUGCUAUGGCCUGACCAGGAUCACUCUACAGGGCUGUUUGGCUGUCAGGCGUUUACAGUCCUUAUAAUUAGUAAACUGGGAACUAUUUUGCAAACUAUUUGAUCACUACAAUACUACCUCUGAAUCCACUUUGUGUGGCAUUAACCUAAAAGGUAAACCCACACAUAAACCUGAGCAGCAACAGGAUCAGUGAGGCAGCCAUGUCAUUUUGAUUCCAAGAUCUCCCAUCACUAAAAGUAGAUUUCCUCUGCUCUAAAGCUUACAGAAGUAAGUAUAUGCAGACUGUUUUUCCUCAUUUGUGUGAAUUGCUUUCUGUGUGUGUCCCAGCCUUUCUAUUUACGUAUGUAAAUGUCUGACACAUUAAAUCCAAUGAGGCAAAUCCUUUUCACAACCAGGAACAAAAGACUAGAAGGAGGGCCAAGUGUAUGCGCCAAGUUGUUAGCUGGGAUAGCAGAGUUAAAGGGGAAAGAAAUUCAAUGUUAAAAUGCUUCGGCCGCAGAAAACAGCAUCACUUCUUAUGCUCUUUCAGCCAGCUCAGUCUCUCAUAAUGAACCACAAAUAAGUUAUUUGUGUUAUGUUGAUUUCUAUUUAUCACUGUUGUCUUUCAGAGCCUGAUGGAAAAGGGAUUUUUGAGACAGCUUCAGUGGCCACUAGUGAUGCUCUCAGGUUUGUAUCUGACAGUGCUGCAGUGAUGCAGUAAACAGACU